CCCUUAGAUGUUCUGGGCCGCACGCGCGCUACACUGAUGCAUUCAACGAGUUAUUCUUUGACCUUGGUCGAAAGAUCUGGGUAAUCUUUUGAAAUUGCAUCGUGAUGGGGCUUACAGGUUGCAAUUACCUGUACCAACGAGGAAUUCCUAGUAAACGCAAGUCAUCAGCUUGCAUUGAUUACGUCCCUGCCCUUUGUACACACCGCCCGUCGCACCUACCGAUUGAAUGGUCCGGUGAAAUCUCGGGACGGCGGCUUGGUCGCUUGCGUCCGACUGCUGAAACUUGAUUAAACCAUAUCAUUUAGAGGAAGGUGAAGUCGUAACA
rnacentral:rRNA from 1 species